GUCUGGGUCUGGGGAUGUGGUGCCGGCUGCCGGCGACCGCCGGCAGUAGAGCGGUGGCCAGGCCGCUGGCCUUGCUCUGGCGAUGUGGUGGCCCAGGAGGUGGCAGGACGGUCAAGACCAGCGCGAGGGUCCUGGGCAGGGCCCGACAGGCAAUAAGCUCACACCUCAUCCUGCUUCCUCCAGUGGUUGUGGCCAGUGAGAAUGUGCAGUGUUGUAUUGCAGAAGAAGCUAAUAAGCUUAUCUGGUCUCUUGUUUCAGUGCCUCUAGGGGAUCCACGUUCAGAAGCUGACUCUGCAGGCGAGACCAACGUUAUUUUCCCGGUGGCUGUGUUCAAAACCACCCAAAGGGUUUGAGAAAUACUUUAAGAGGAGUGGAAGGAACAAACUCAGAAACAUCAACAGCACCAAAAAAAGAGACUGGUGAACUAGAGAAUGCCGAGUCUGGAGGAGAUGGAGGCAGGAGAGGAGGGAAGCGGGAUGACGUUGCCUGGUGGAGGCGGAUGCAGAAGGGGACUUCUGCAAUCUGGCCCUUUUGGGGGCAGGCGUUGCCAUGGGAUUUUUCUACCUCUAUUUUCGAGAUCCUGGAAGAGAAAUCACUUGGAAGCACUUUGUAUAGUAUUACCUGGCCAGAGGUCUGGUGGACCAGCUGGAAAUCCUGAACAAUUUGUGCGUGUUAUUCCUGCCCCUGGGAUCUCUUCUGAAACGUAGCUGGGUGCGAAGAAGCCAAAUUGGAAAUUACGGAAUUUGUGAAUUUCCUGAAGAAUCUCAAGCAGUAUCAGGACUUAGGAGCAAAAAUUCCAAAGGGAGCCAUGCUCAUUGGUCCUCCUGGUACCGGCAAGACCCUUCUUGCCAAAGCAACUGCAGGGGAGGCCACUGUGCCCUUCAUCACUGUGAACGGGUCUGAGUUCCUGGAAAUGUUUGUUGGCGUUGGGCCAGCAAGGGGUGCAACUCUGCCACCAACGUCGUGACGUUGGCUGGCACCAAAUGCCCUGGCAUCCUGGACCCGGCCCUGAUGCGGCCUGGCCGGUUUGAUCGCCAGAUUUACAUUGGUCCCCCUGACAUCAAAGGCAGGGUCCUCCAUCUUUAAGGUCCACCUACGCCCACUGAAGCUGGACGAGAGCCUCAAUAAGGAUGUCCUGGCGAGGAAGCUGGCAGCGCUCACCCCAGGCUUCACUGAUGUCUGUUUACAUACCAAAGUUAAAAAGCUGGAAUGUUACCAAGACUGUUUCUUCUGUCCCUAGAGGGGGAUGACUCAGCAGGGCUGACUCAGCACUACCCCUCAACAGAGAUGACUUAGCUUUGCCCCUCAGCAGGGAUGACUCUGAUGACUCUGCCCCUCAGCAGGGAUUACUAAGCACUACCUUUUAACAGGGAUGGCUCAGCACUGCCCCCCGACAGAGAUGACUGAGCAGGGAUGACUCAGCACUGCACUCCAACUGAGAGGACUCAGCAGGGAUGACUCAGCACUGCCCCCCAACGGAGAUGACUCAACAGGGAUGACUCAAUGCUGCUCCUCAGCAGGGAUGACUUAGCAGGGAUGACUCAGCACUGCCCCCAACGGAGAUGACUCAACAGGAUGAUCAUGCUGCUCCAGCAGGGAUGACUUAGCAGGGAUGACUCAGCACUGCCCCUAACGGAGAUGACUCAGCAGGGAUGACUCAGCACUGCCCCCAACGGGGAUGACUCAGCAGGGAUGAUUCAGCAGAGAUGACUCAGUACUGCCCCUCAGCAGGGAUGACUCAGCAGGGAUGACCAGUAUUGCCCCUGAAUGGGGAUGACUCAGCAGGAAUGAUGCAGCAGGGAUGACUCAGCACUGCCCCUCAGCCAGGAUGACUCAGCAGGGAUGACUCAGCACUGCCCCUCAGCCAGGAUGACUCAGCAGGGAUGGCUCAGCACUGCCCCUCAGCAGGGAUGGCUCAGCACUGCCCCGCAGCAGGGAUGACUCAGCAGGGAUGGCUCAGUACUGCCUCUCAGCAGGGAUGACUAAGCAGGAAUGACUCAGCAGGGAUGACUUAGCACUAACCCCAACGGAGAUGACUCAGCAGAGGUGGCUCAGCAGGGAUGACUCAGCACUGCUCCUCAGCAGGGAUGACUCAGCAGGGAUGACUCAGGACUGCCCCCCCAACAGUGAUGACUCAGGAGGGAUCACUCAGCACUGCCCCCAACAGGUAUGGCUCAGCAGGGAUGACUCAGCACUGCCCCCCCAACGGUGAUGACUCAGCAGGGAUGACUCAGCACUGCCCCCCAACAGGUAUGGCUCAGCAGGGAUGACUCACCACUGCCCCCAACAGGGAUAACUCAGCAGGGAUGACUCAGCACUGCCCCCAACGUGGAUGGCUCAGGAGGGAUGACUCAGCACUGCCACCAACAGGGAUGGCUCAGCAGGGAUGACUCAUUACCGCCCCCCCACGGGGAUGACUCAGCAGGGAUGACUCAGCACUGCCACUCAACAGGGGUAGCUCAGUAGGGAUGACUCAGCACUGCCCCCCAAUGGGGUUGACUCAGCAGGGAUGACUCAGCACUGCCAACUGCCCCCCAACGGGGAUGACUCAGCAGGGAUGACUCAGCACUGCACUCAACAGGGGUGGCUCAGCAGGGAUGACUCAGCACUGCCCCCAACGGGGAUGACUCAGCAGGGAUGACUCGUCACUGCCCCCAACGGGGAUGACUCAGCACUGCCCCUCUACAGGGAUGACUCAGCAGGGAUGACUCAGCACUGCCCCUCAGCAGGGAUGACUCAGCAGUGAUAACUCAGCACUGCCCCUCAGCAAGGAUGACUCAGCAGGGAUGAUUCAGCAGAGAUAACUUGGGGAUGACUCUGACUGCCCCUCAGCAUGGAUGAGUCUGUUUUGCUCCAAUGGAAGCAUCCAUAGUGUCCAUCAGCAGGUGAAUGGCUAAAGUGGUAUAUACUGUAGUCAAAUUCUGCUAUAAAAAGGAAUAAAGUAUUGAUGCAUGCCACAACAUGGGUGAACCUGGAAAAUACUGUUCUAAAUGCAAGAGGCCAGGAACAAAAGGCCACAUAAUAUAUGUUCCCAUUUAUGUGAAAUGUGCAGAAUAAUAAUAAAAAUGUAUAGAAUAGCAAAUCUGUAGGGACAGACAUGAAGUGAGUGGUUGCCAGAAGUGGAAAUGAGAGUUAACUAUAAAUAGCAUAGGGUACCUUACAGAGAUGAUGGAAAUGUCCUAAAACUAGAUUAUGGCAAUGGUUGCACCACAUGAUCCGUUUAUUAAAAAUCGUUGAUGUGUGUGUGUAAAAUGGAUGGAUUUUAUGAUUUAUAAAUUAUACCUUAAUAAAGGUUAACAAAAAAUGUGGCU
rnacentral:sRNA from 1 species